GGCGCGGGGAUCUUCUCCUGAAUGAGUUUGUCCCGCAGGCGCAGGGCCGGCUCCUUGGGGGGCGCAGCGGCGGGGCCUUGGGCAGCUCAGCGACUCCGGAUGGGGUCCACGCACUGUUAACAAUCUCUACACUUUUCCUGGAGCAGCAGAAAACGCAUGAAUCCCAGACUCCUAAACGUGCUCCUGGGAACAGACAGACAUAGCUUUGGAGCCUGUUGGAGGGCGUUCUGGGCUCUUCUGGAUGAUGUUUCCCUUCCUCCUGUCUGUCCUGAGCAUCUGGAUUGACUUCCUGCUUUAAAGUGGAGUCUGCCCUGGGCUCAGCGAUCUAGAGAGAAGGCUCCAGAGAUGCCUCCCUCCUUCCACUGUGUAAGGACAUGGCGACAUGUUGGCCGUCUGCAGCACAGAAGACGGUCUCACCAGAACCCCACCGUGCCAGCACUUGAUCGCAGCCUUCCAGCCUCCAGAAUGGACACCUAGACUCUGAUCUGUUCAAAUUCUUGGAGAAGAUGCUGUUGCCCACCCCCGUUGCCAAGCACCACGGAAUUUGGUCCUUCCAAUCAGGAAGGUCAGAAGCCUCUGAUGUCAUUAGUCAUUCCAACCUGGCAAGCAGCUUGAAGGAUCCAAACCCAUGGACUGCCAUGUGUGCACUGCUCCUGGGAGUCAGGGGUCAACCGUACCUCCUGCCACUGACCCAACAGCCUCUGUCCAGCCUCCAACACUCUCCUCUAUGGCAGCGUCACUCUUUACCCCUCCCCAGGGGAUGCUGUGUUCUCUCCAUUCUGAACUUGAAAUAGGCUGGACUCUCUCCUUUCCCAUUCCUAUUUCAGAACUUAGUCUGAUGAGAGAGGGAGGUCACAAGGGGAAGCAGAAAUGCUCAGACCUUACAAGAAUGAGAUGUGUGUGUAAAAAAAGAUCCCAUGUACAAUGAAUUGUCGAAUGAUAAAGUUACUUUAAAACAC